rnacentral:rRNA from 1 species
CCUACGGGCGGCUGCAGUGGGGAAUAUUGCACAAUGGGCGCAAGCCUGAUGCAGCCAUGCCGCGUGUGUGAAGAAGGCCUUCGGGUUGUAAGGCACUUUCAGCGGGGAGGAAGGCGGUGAGGUUAAUAACCUCAUCGAUUGACGUUACCCGCAGAAGAAGCACCGGCUAACUCCGUGCCAGCAGCCGCGGUAAUACGGAGGGUGCAAGCGUUAAUCGGAAUUACUGGGCGUAAAGCGCACGCAGGCGGUCUGUCAAGUCGGAUGUGAAAUCCCCGGGCUCAACCUGGGAACUGCAUUCGAAACUGGCAGGCUAGAGUCUUGUAGAGGGGGGUAGAAUUCCAGGUGUAGCGGUGAAAUGCGUAGAGAUCUGGAGGAAUACCGGUGGCGAAGGCGGCCCCCUGGACAAAGACUGACGCCCAGGUGCGAAAGCGUGGGGAGCAAACAGGAUUAGAUACCCGAGUAGUC